GGCCCAAAGUGGACAAUAUCGUACUAAUAAGAUAAGAUAGAGUUGGAUACGGGAUUUCGCAAUCCCAACAAUUGGUAUCAGAGCGGUUGACAAUAAAUCUGCAAGAAGACCAAAAUACCCUUCGAGUAGGAACGGGACCCUUCAAAGUGGUAAGGGAGGUUCGGCAGAGAUUAGUCAGAAGAUCCUGGAAUUGUGGGAAGAGCAUCCUUAAAGCCACUCAAAGUAAACCUUGCGACUAAGGGUGUCGAAUGUCGAAGAUGCGACAAGGCACCGAGAUGAUUCGCUAGAAGAAAGGGCACAAGGUGUGUGGUCCUUAGCUUGAGGGGGAGAAUGAGAGAUGUCAAUCCAAGUCCCACAUUGGAUAAUUAGACAAGGAGUGUCUAAUAUAUAAAGAGAUGUCCAACUCUAAUAGUACGAGGCCUUUUGGGAUGGAAACCAAAAGUAAAUCCAUGCGGGCCAGCUUCCUAAGGCCCAAAGUGGACAAUAUCGUACUAAUAAGAUAAAAUAGAAUUGGACACGGGAUUUCACAAUCCCAACAAUAUACCAAUUCAGAUCUCUUAGAAACACAAAGAGUUAUAAGAACAACUUUUCUUAUUAGCUUUAGAAACUACUCAAAACUAAAGCUCUCAAUAUGUUUCACUUAGAUCAUAUGGAACACC
rnacentral:lncRNA from 1 species